GUCGAACGGACUCAUAUUGAAACCUAGUGAUUUAUGAGUUAGUGGCGGACGGGUGAGUAACGCGUGGAUAACCUGCCGUAUACCGGGGGAUAACACUUAGAAAUAGGUGCUAAUACCGCAUAAGCGCACGGCUCCGCAUGGGGCAGUGUGAAAAACUCCGGUGGUAUACGAUGGAUCCGCGUCUGAUUAGCUAGUUGGCGGGGUAACGGCCCACCAAGGCAGCGAUCAGUAGCCGGCCUGAGAGGGUGGACGGCCACAUUGGGACUGAGACACGGCCCAAACUCCUACGGGAGGCAGCAGUGGGGAAUAUUGCACAAUGGGGGAAACCCUGAUGCAGCGACGCCGCGUGAGUGAAGAAGUAUCUCGGUACGUAAAGCUCUAUCAGCAGGGAAGAAAAUGACGGUACCUGACUAAGAAGCCCCGGCUAACUACGUGCCAGCAGCCGCGGUAAUACGUAGGGGGCAAGCGUUAUCCGGAUUUACUGGGUGUAAAGGGAGCGUAGACGGCAGCACAAGUCUGGAGUGAAAUCCCGGGGCUUAACCCCGGAACUGCUUUGGAAACUGUGCGGCUGGAGUGCGGGAGGGGUAAGCGGAAUUCCUAGUGUAGCGGUGAAAUGCGUAGAUAUUAGGAGGAACACCGGUGGCGAAGGCGGCUUACUGGACUGUAACUGACGUUGAGGCUCGAAAGCGUGGGGAGCAAACAGGAUUAGAUACCCUGGUAGUCCACGCCGUAAACGAUGAUUACUAGGUGUCGGGGGAUCAAGGUCCUCCGGUGCCGGCGCAAACGCAUUAAGUAAUCCACCUGGGG
rnacentral:rRNA from 1 species